rnacentral:rRNA from 1 species
AACGAACGCUGGCGGCAGGCUUAACACAUGCAAGUCGAGCGCCCCGCAAGGGGAGCGGCAGACGGGUGAGUAACGCGUGGGAAUCUACCCAUCUCUACGGAACAACUCCGGGAAACUGGAGCUAAUACCGUAUACGUCCUUCGGGAGAAAGAUUUAUCGGAGAUGGAUGAGCCCGCGUUGGAUUAGCUAGUUGGUGGGGUAAUGGCCUACCAAGGCGACGAUCCAUAGCUGGUCUGAGAGGAUGAUCAGCCACACUGGGACUGAGACACGGCCCAGACUCCUACGGGAGGCAGCAGUGGGGAAUAUUGGACAAUGGGCGAGAGCCUGAUCCAGCCAUGCCGCGUGAGUGAUGAAGGCCCUAGGGUUGUAAAGCUCUUUCAACGGUGAAGAUAAUGACGGUAACCGUAGAAGAAGCCCCGGCUAACUUCGUGCCAGCAGCCGCAGUAAUAC